rnacentral:rRNA from 1 species
AAAUUGAAGAGUUUGAUCAUGGCUCAGAUUGAACGCUGGCGGCAGGCCUAACACAUGCAAGUCGAGCGGUAGCACAGAGAGCUUGCUCUCGGGUGACGAGCGGCGGACGGGUGAGUAAUGUCUGGGAAACUGCCUGAUGGAGGGGGAUAACUACUGGAAACGGUAGCUAAUACCGCAUAAUGUCGCAAGACCAAAGUGGGGGACCUUCGGGCCUCAUGCCAUCAGAUG